rnacentral:rRNA from 1 species
AUUGAACGCUGGCGGCAUGCUUUACACAUGCAAGUCGAACGGUAACAGGUUAAGCUGACGAGUGGCGAACGGGUGAGUAAUGCAUCGGAACGUGCCCGGUCGUGGGGGAUAACGCAGCGAAAGCUGCGCUAAUACCGCAUACGAUCUGAGGAUGAAAGCGGGGGACCGUAAGGCCUCGCGCGAUCGGAGCGGCCGGUGUCAGAUUAGGUAGUUGGUGGGGUAAAGGCCCACCAAGCCGACGAUCUGUAGCUGGUCUGAGAGGACGAACAGCCACACGGGGACUGAGACACGGCCCAGACUCCUACGGGAGGGAGCAGUGGGGAAUUUUGGACAAUGGGCGAAAGCCUGAUCCAGCAAUGCCGCGUGCAGGAAGAAGGCCUUCGGGUUGUAAACUGCUUUUGUACGGAGCGAAAAGGUCCUUUCUAAUACAAGGGGCUCAUGACGGUACCGUAAGAAUAAGCACCGGCUAACUACGUGCCAGCCGCCGCGGUAA